rnacentral:lncRNA from 1 species
AAUACACCUAAAAUUACGUUUCGUUUCACUUCUCCACUUCCGUUUACAGUCCGUUAUAACAUUACUAAUGUCGUAGGGGUAAAUCGGUCAUUUCAGCAGAGCAUUCCUUUCAACAACUCUAAAUCACCCACAUCACUCUCGAUAUUCUUCUCCCUUUUCACUUCCUCCACUUUCUCAACCCUCUCAAUCCCAAUCUUGUUCAUAGUCAAACAUGGCAUUUUAACCUCAGAAUCCGCAGGCAAAUUCACUCCCCACCUCAAAUUCAUCAUUACCCUUUUAGUCACUGGCAACAUUGUUCUUGCUUUUAUAGCAAUCCCACCUAAAAAGCCACUUUUUUUAUCAUCAUCUUUCAACAACGAUGUUCUAUCUCUAACAAACCCAAUUCCAUCACUACGAAUUGAAUCAACCCCAUUAAAGAAACUACUAUUCCCAUUGCCACUACGCGGCUCCAAUUUCAAAUCUUGCCACCCGGACGAUUCAUCCGAAAUCGACCUAUUUGCAAACUCAAUAUUGGAAGGCGACCCAGAUUGCAAAUGGGGCCCAGAAUUUGCAGGAUUAGGGUUUGAAGACGACGUAGUUUUGUGAAGAGAAAAGUUGCCAAAUUGAGGCUUGAAUGGAGCAAAAACGUAGGAGUGAAAUUGGUUGGGUUUGUGUAGGAAAGAGAGAAGUGGGCAGAGAAGAGAAGAGGAGAGUCCUGGGGUGAACCAAACAAACCAAAGCCUGAUUUCAAAGAGAAAGAGAAAGGGGUUGUGCUUAUGCACGUUGUAGAGAGAGGUGUAUAGUUGAGUUUGAAGGAAGGGCCUGAUGGAAAGUUGGUGCGGAGAGAAAAGGAAAGGUGUU